GCGCGAUUAGCCCAGCGGGAGAGCACUACCGUGACAUGGUAGGGGUCGCUGGUUCAAUCCCAGUAUCGCGCA
rnacentral:tRNA from 1 species